GGGCAAGUCUUAUACGACCAGCUCCUGUGAACUCCCCCAGGUUCGGAAGGAAGCAAGGGUAAAUGGUUGUAGCGGUGCGCUGUAAGUAACUUGCCCAUU
rnacentral:SRP_RNA from 1 species